GACUUGACCCAUGGCUUUACGAAUCAAUCUUAGGCUUACGUAUUUUAAAACUAUUAAAGUCAAUAAACAACAAAUCCUGUCAUAACUGUCAACAUCUAUUCGGCCUUAACAAAAUUACCAAGUAUUUUAUUUAAAUAAUCAUGAAUUAAAGACACAAAAUUAUGAUACUACAGCGUCUGUUCUUAGCAAUACUUUGUGCAAUAAAUGCACCAAAAAAUCAACGGUGUAUAUUAAACACUAGGGUACAUUUCGGCCAACCGUUACCUGUGAUAUUAAGAAAUGGACAACUCUUAGAACCCACUGAUAAUGACGGGAACAUAAUUUUACAGUACGGGGAGACCAUAACUUUAAGUUGUAUCGAUCAAGGCAGUAUUCGCAAUUCACAUACGACCCAAGGACGAAAUACAGCAACAAUUAAUUGCAUCAACGAUGAUGUCUUUGGAAACGAUGAAUGGUUGAACUCUCCAUCAAGAUUCAGUGAAUUCAAAUGCACUAGUCCACCGUCCUACGUCAGUGAUCGCACAAAUCGAACCUGCUAUGAUGAAAACAUAAUAUACGAAGUUGGCUACAAAAUUGAUAAUGUUUUCUAUCCAGUUUACGAGUCUUGUUUCAAUGAAGUUGAAUUGAACGCUAUAUAUUCCAAAUACACGCAAAAACCUUACAACGCAUUAUAUCAAACAAGAGUCGAAAGACCAUUUUUCAUUGAUAACAAUGUGUACGGAUAUGUUUCGGUUAAUUCGUUGUUCUCACCAGCGGGACAGAAGAGCGCUGUUGCCCAACUUGUUGGUGAUAGAGUCAAUACUUACCUGAAUAAAACUGAAUUCCUAUCAAGAGGGCAUCUUGCUGCUAAAACUGAUUUCGCUUUAGCAUUCGGGGAACGGGCAACAUUUCAUUACGUGAAUUGUGCUCCACAGUGGGUCGGUUUUAACGGUGGCAACUGGAAUACACUGGAAGUAGACUUGAGGAAUCAUAUUCAUAAUGUUGGGUAUAACACUAUCAUUUACACUGGCACUUUUGGUGUAUCACAACUUGUCAAUCAACAUGGAACAGCAGUCGAUGUAUAUCUUCAUACUGAUGUGAAUAAUAAUCCAGUAAUUCCUGUUCCGAAAUAUUAUUACAAAGUUGUGUAUGAACCGAUUAGUAAGCGUGGAAUAGCCUUCGUAGGUAUAAAUAAUCCUCAUUAUACAAGACAGGAGGCACAGAAUUUGUUCUUCUGUCCAGAUUUAUGCCGAGGAAAUAAUAAUUUCUCUUGGCUCACGUGGCAUCCAGAUUUAUCAUCCGAAGGGUAUACGUUUUGUUGUACUAUUGAUGAUUUUCGACAAACUGUACGUCAUCUACCAAAAUUUGAAGUGAGUGGUCUUUUAACUUGAUAUUUGAAGACUGUAGGAUCUAUAGUCAACAUUAUGCUGGACUAUGGCUCAAGAAAAUAUUAGAAUUUCAAACAGUUUAGAAGAUAUUGAAUGCAGGCAUAUUAAUUGUGAUGUCUCUGAGUGAGUCGAUGACAUCGACGGAUGGAAUAAGAGCAACUAGGCCUAAAAUAAUAGACUUCAAAAUACAAAGAGAUCCUGGUUUAUUAAAAUACAAUUCAUAUUUCUUUGCCAAAGAACCUGAAACAACUACGACAGAGAAAAGAGUUGUAUCUUUAUUAGGUCGUAAAGUUAAAAGUAGAGACGCACAUUUCGAUAUUUAUCCAACGAAGAAAUUCCGAACUCUACCUUAUGAGUCGACUAAUAAAGUGGUAAGAGAAAUACAUCUAAGACGUGCAAGUAAUAGACGUGCUAUUGUACAAUUUAAAGGAUACACAUCUGUACCGCAAAGUGAGAAAUUUAUAAUAAGAAGAAAUGCAUGUCAUCAUAACGAAAUGUUAAAACAACGUGAUUUAGUCCAGAAUUAUAUAAAAAAUAAUGAUUUCGGUGAUGAUAUUGAAAUAAAUACUGAUGUAUCACCGAUAGAUACAGCUGAAAUUAAAUUAUUCCUACCUAAAAAUACUAAACAUAUAAAUACACAGAGUUAUAACGGUCACAAAACAAAUCUUAUUGGUAGACCUAUUUAUUUUAAUCCGAAUCCCCGAAGUGAUAAUUCCGCUGAAACGGAAGAUCAGAAAGAAUUUAUAUUUGUUAAGAUUCCUCGUAUCGAUUAUGAAAAUGUCGAUGAUAAAAAAAGUAAGAAAACAAUCAAGAAGAGUAUCUUUAAACAUUAUAGACUGUUCAAAAGGCGUAUCUAAUCACUAGGAGGAAUAUUCGGGGCAAAGAUGGCUGCGCUUGCGGUCUGGUUGGUUUGUAUUAAUUAUUAAGUCUUAUAAUAGAUGGAUUGUGAUAAAUCUUCUUAUUCCUUAUACUGCUGUUUAGUUAUUCCAACUUGUUUCUAUUGGUGUUGAUCUUUUUUCUUUAUUGGUGUUCUUUUGAGUGGACAUUAUCAUUUUUUUGUCUACUUUUAUCUCUCUACGUGUUAAGGGAUUUUAUUCUUGGUGGUGCAGAAAUCAUUCCAGGGAUUUAAGUUCUUCCUGUACAAAA